rnacentral:rRNA from 1 species
GACGAACGCUGGCGGCGUGCUUAACACAUGCAAGUCGAACGGAAAGGCCCUGCUUUUGUGGGGUGCUCGAGUGGCGAACGGGUGAGUAACACGUGAGUAACCUGCCCUUGACUUUGGGAUAACUUCAGGAAACUGGGGCUAAUACCGGAUAGGAGCUCCUGCUGCAUGGUGGGGGUUGGAAAGUUUCGGCGGUUGGGGAUGGACUCGCGGCUUAUCAGCUUGUUGGUGGGGUAGUGGCUUACCAAGGCUUUGACGGGUAGCCGGCCUGAGAGGGUGACCGGCCACAGUGGGACUGAGAUACGGCCCAGACUCCAACGGGAGGCAGCAGUGGAGAAUAUUGCACAAUGGGCGGAAGCCUGAUGCAGCAAAGCCGCGUGCGGGAUGAAGGCCUUCGGGUUGUAAACCGCUAUCGCCUGUGACGAAGCGUGAGUGACGGUAAUGGGUAAAGAAGCACCGGCUAACUACGUG